rnacentral:rRNA from 1 species
CCCAGACUCCUACGGGAGGCAGCAGUGAGGAAUAUUGGUCAAUGGCCGAAGGGCUGAACCAGCCAAGCCGCGUGAAGGAAUAAGGCCCUACGGGUCGUAAACUUCUUUAGUCAGGGAACAAAGGGAGCCACGCGUGGCGCUGUGAGUGUACCUGAAGAAUAAGCAUCGGCUAACUACGUGCCAGCAGCCGCGGUAAUACGUAGGGGGCGAGCGUUAUCCGGAUUUACUGGGUGUAAAGGGAGCGUAGACGGCGUCGCAAGUCUGAAGUGAAAGCCCGUGGCUCAACCGCGGAACCGCUUUGGAAACUGCGAGGCUGGAGUGCUGGAGAGGUAAGCGGAAUUCCUGGUGUAGCGGUGAAAUGCGUAGAUAUCAGGAGGAACACCGGUGGCGAAGGCGGCUUACUGGACAGUGACUGACGUUGAGGCUCGAAAGCGUGGGGAGCGAACAGGAUUAGAUACCCUCGUAU